rnacentral:rRNA from 1 species
CGUGUAGGCGGUUGGUCAAGUCGGGUGUGAAAGCCCGGGGCUCAGCCUCGGAAGUGCAUCCGAAACUAGCCAGCUAGAGCGCGAUAGAGGAGGGUGGAAUUCCUGGUGUGGCGGUGAAAUGCGUAGAUAUCAGGAGGAACACCGGCGGCGAAGGCGGCCCUCUGGAUCGUUGCUGACGCUGAGACGCGAAAGCGUGGGGAGCAAACAGGAUUAGAUACCCUGGUAGUCCACGCCUUAAACGAUGGGUACUAGGUGUUCGGGGUGUUGACCCCCUGAGUGCCGCAGUUAACGCAUUAAGUACCCCGCCUGGGGACUACGGCCGCAAGGUUAAA